ACGGAAGGCAGCAGUGGGGAAUAUUGCACAAUGGGGGAAACCCUGAUGCAGCGACGCCGCGUGAACGAUGAAGUAUUUCGGUAUGUAAAGUUCUAUCAGCAGGGAAGAUAAUGACGGUACCUGACUAAGAAGCACCGGCUAAAUACGUGCCAGCAGCCGCGGUAAUACGUAUGGUGCAAGCGUUAUCCGGAUUUACUGGGUGUAAGGGGUGCGUAGGUGGCAUGGCAAGUCUGAAGUGAAAUGCGGGGGCUCAACCCCUGAACUGCUUUGGAAACUGUCAAGCUUGAGUACAGGAGAGGAAAGCGGAAUUCCUAGUGUAGCGGUGAAAUGCGUAGAUAUUAGGAGGAACACCAGUGGCGAAGGCGGCUUUCUGGACUGUAACUGACACUGAGGCACGAAAGCGUGGGGAGCAAACAGGAUUAGAUACCCUGGUA
rnacentral:rRNA from 1 species